CGUUUUUUCUUAUUUUUUUUAUUUUCAUUUUAUUUGGUUUAUUUUCAUUAAUUAAUUUUAAUUUAAAUAUUGAUUCAAAAAAUAUGAGAGUUUCACCAAAAUUUUUUAAAUAAAUUCCUCUUUCAUUUUUUGAAUUAAAAUUAUUUUUUGAAUCAUUAUUAAUAUUUUUCAUGAUUUAAUUGAUUUUAUGAAUAUUUUUAAUUGUUUAAAAAUGCUUUUAAGUUUCCAAAAAAUUAUGAAAUUUUUUCUCGAAGGUUCUUUGACCUUG
rnacentral:lncRNA from 1 species